CAAUAGCGUAUAUUAAAGUUGUUGCAGUUAAAAAGCUCGUAGUUGGAUUUCUGGUGGGAGCGAUCGGUCUGGCGCUUAGCGCGAGUACUUGCAUCGUCUCCGGCCAUCCUUGGGGAAAGUCUGUCUGGCAUUAAGUUGUCGGGCAGAGGAUCCUCAUCGUUUACUGUGAAAAAAUUAGAGUGUUCAAAGCAGGCUUAUGCCGUUGAAUAUAUUAGCAUGGAAUAAUAAGAUAGGACUUUGGUACUAUUUUGUUGGUUUGCGCACCAAAGUAAUGAUUAAUAGGGACAGUUGGGGGUAUUCGUAUUCCGUUGUCAGAGGUGAAAUUCUUGGAUUUACGGAAGACGAACUACUGCGAAAGCAUUUGCCAAGGAUGUUUUCAUUAA
rnacentral:rRNA from 1 species